rnacentral:rRNA from 1 species
GACGAACGCUGGCGGCGUGCCUAAUACAUGCAAGUUGAGCGCUGAAGGUUGGUACUUGUACCAACUGGAUGAGCAGCGAACGGGUGAGUAACGCGUGGGGAAUCUGCCUUUGAGCGGGGGACAACAUUUGGAAACGAAUGCUAAUACCGCAUAAAAACUUUAAACACAAGUUUUAAGUUUGAAAGAUGCAAUUGCAUCACUCAUAGAUGAUCCCGCGUUGUAUUAGCUAGUUGGUGAGGUAAAGGCUCACCAAGGCGAUGAUACAUAGCCGACCUGAGAGGGUGAUCGGCCACAUUGGGACUGAGACACGGCCCAAACUCCUACGGGAGGCAGCAGUAGGGAAUCUUCGGCAAUGGACGAAAGUCUGACCGAGCAACGCCGCGUGAGUGAAGAAGGUUUUCGGAUCGUAAAACUCUGUUGGUAGAGAAGAACGUUGGUGAGAGUGGAAAGCUCAUCAAGUGACGGUAACUACCCAGAAAGGGACGGCUAACUACGUG